UCUGCUUUCGCGCCGUUAGCGCCAUUCCCCCCGUCGGGUCGCCAUCUUUUGUUUCCCGAAGGAAGAAAACAAAGCGAGGAAAGUUUGCGGUAGGGAGCACGACCGUGGCUACCAAGACGGCUGACGGCGCAGUACCCGAGGCGUUUGGCGGGCCCGAUAGUAAACGAACAUAACGGGAUGAUCUGUGGACUGCCCACGAGUACGCACUCAGCAUUGAUGGCAGGCUCAUGGUUCAGAAGAUACCAGACGUCCCUACGGCAUGGGCUGCACUCUUCGCGAGUCACUAUUGCUUUAACAUCUGCUACGCUGAAGGCCUGUCAUCGACCCUUGAGUUCCUUCAGAGAGGUUUCCUGAGCAUGAACCCUGACCGUGGCACCAGAGCCAAGCGCUCCAAGUCAGAAGUGAACAAGAAAGUACUUAACCUGGUCAAGAAAAUAGCAGAGCUGGAGUGGAAUGUGUGAGGCUGUCGGUCAUCCUAUGUGGGAACGAGGCAUGCAAC